rnacentral:lncRNA from 1 species
AACAACAACACACGCAGAUCCUGCAGAUGACAGAUAUUAAUAUUAACACUUUAAACACAAAUAUUACCAGCUAAUCUGCAAAUUAAACCGACACACAACCCGUUACAAUGGAGGACUCGAGCUUGUCACGCGACUCAGCCGACAGUAAAAUCUUCUGGACUGUAAGCCUGUUGAACAGAAGCAGAGACGUGUGGACAGACACUGACUGUACUGAUGAUGAUCAUCUGCUGCUGCACAGGCUGUAAAGUAUAACCCCUGCUGGACACGGCUCCGGAAGCUCCAGGGGGAGACCGAACUGGUAUCCCCCCUUCUUCAGGCGCGCCUCACACUCACUCACCAUUCACACAUAUCGCAGAGUUCUGGCUGGGACCGAUACCAGCAACCCCUGAAGCCGUGGGGCAGCGCUCUUACCACAGAGCCACAGAUCUCCUGUCUGAACACCUGCUGGAACUGAUGCUUGACUGCUGACCUGAGCUGUGAUUGGACAAUAAAUUAGUUAAA